GGCAUUCUGCGCCUCAUAAAUGUUUGAAUAAAUAUUUUAAGAGAGGCACUCAUAAAUUUUGAGAUAGUUGAGAAGACCUUUUGUUUUUUGUGUCUGUUUUAUUGUGAUGUCAGAUUGUACCGGAGAAGGUUUUUCCGGUUUAUCCCGGAGGGCUUGUAGCUCAGUUGGUUAGAGCGCGCGCUUGAUAAGCGUGAGGUCGGAGGUUCAAGUCCUCCCAGGCCCACCAUUUAUUCCAGGCCUAUGAUUGAUUUCUAGGCAGACAUUUAUUCCAGGCUUAUCUUAUAGUUUUAGGCUUACUAUGUGUGGUUGCGUUUUUAUCUUUUAACUGCCAUGUUGUUUGGUUAAAGAGGGGCCGUAGCUCAGCUGGGAGAGCACCUGCUUUGCAAGCAGGGGGUCGUCGGUUCGAUCCCGUCCGGCUCCACCAUCAUAGGCUAUUUAUGCGUUAUGGAUCAUCAUGUUAGAGAACAAGUUUGCAAAUAGAUUUUGAUUUAUUUGCUGGUUCUA
rnacentral:tRNA from 1 species